GAGGGCUCUACAACGCCUACCUCCUCCCGCGGGACAAGACGCAGAAUCGGAGCGAGCGCCUGGGAGGACGCCCUGCUCCGAUGGGUUGGGCGUGUCGCGAGCUUCGCCGUGUGGCCAAGUACGGCGUGCUCCAGAGUGGAUGGUCGACGCCCUCCCCACCUCGCCCGUGACUGGUUUAGCUCUGACAGAAACAGCUAUGGGACAGGUACAACAUGAAGUUGGGUUCUAGUCUUUUAGCUACAGUGCAGGGAAGCAAGCUUGGAUUCACUGAAUGAUGUGUACACACCAAGUGCACCUCGCUUUCAUAAUAGCAAGCAACCCCAUUCUGAGGUAUGUUCUCUUCGCUUGCAGCCUUUUUAAGAGUAUAAGUGGUGUUUAUCAAUGUGUUGUCUCAGAAAAGCGCUUUCUCCAGCGCUUGAUAAUUGUAGCUCUAUAUGCUUGUGUUGCAAACAGCAUAAGCAACUGGACAACCAUUUGGUUCAUAAACUCAAACCAUUGAACUUAAAAACAUCACCUUCCGUGGCUGUUGUGUAUCGUAGUUGGGUCAAAGCAAAUUGCGCAGUGGGCUUCUCCGUAGUGUGAAUUUGUUAGAAAGAAUUGAACAUAUAUACACAAACUGAAAGAAAUAUCAAAAUCUAAGCACCUGUAUGCCUCGCAAUGGAUCACAACAAAAAAACGUAGACACUGAUUAAUCCAUCCUAAAAAUAUCUGAACUAUAUCGGAAAACAUGUAGUUGCUGAUUUACGAAACCAUCAUUUUCCAAACAGGGU